GAUGAACGCUGGCGGCGUGCCUAAUACAUGCAAGUCGAGCGAACGGACGAGAAGCUUGCUUCUCUGAUGUUAGCGGCGGACGGGUGAGUAAAACGUGGAUAACCUACCUAUAAGACUGGGAUAACUUCGGGAAACCGUAGCUAAUACCGGAUAAUAUUUUGAACCGCAUGGUUCAAAAGUGAAAAACGGUCUUGCUGUCACUUAUAGAUGGAUCCGCGCUGCAUUAGCUAGUUGGUAAGGUAACGGCUUACCAAGGCAACGAUGCAUAGCCGACCGGAGAGGGUGAUCGGCCACACUGGAACUGAGACACGGUCCAGACUCCUACGGGAGGCAGCAGUAGGGAAUCUUCCGCAAUGGGCGAAAGCCUGACGGAGCAACGCCGCGUGAGUGAUGAAGGUCUUCGGAUCGUAAAACUCUGUUAUUAGGGAAGAACAUAUGUGUAAGUAACUGUGCACAUCUUGACGGUACCUAAGCAGAAAGCCACGGCUAACUACGG
rnacentral:rRNA from 1 species